CCUACGGGUGGCAGCAGUAGGGAAUCUUACACAAUGGGCGAAAGCCUGAUGGAGCAACGCCGCGUGGGUGAAGAAGGUCUUCGGAUCGUAAAACCCUGUUGGUAGAGAAGAAAGUGCGUGAGAGUAACUGUUCACGUUUCGACGGUAUCUAACCAGAACGCCACGGCUCACUACGUGCCAGCAGCCGCGGUAAUACGAAGGUGGCAAGCGUUAUCCGGGUUUAUUGGGCGUAAAGGGAACGCAGGCGGUAUUUGAAGUCUGAUGUGAAAGCCUUCGGCUUAACCGGAGUAGUGCAUUGGAAACUGGGUGAUUUGAGUGCAGCAGAGGAGAGUGGA
rnacentral:rRNA from 1 species